GACAGAGGUCCCGAGCGUUAGGCGGAAUCACUGGGCUUAAAGCGUGUGUAGGCGGAUUGGUAAGUACCUUGUGAAAUCCCACGGCUUAACCGUGGAACUGCUUGGUAUACUGCUUAUCUUGGGCCACUUAGGGGUUACCGGAACAAACGGUGGAGCGGUGAAAUGCGUAGAUAUCGAGAGGAACACCUGCGGCGAAGGCGGGUAGCUGGGCCGACACUGACGCUGAAGCGCGAAAGCCAGGGGAGCGAACGGG
rnacentral:rRNA from 1 species